GGCUGAGAAAAAGUAGGACAAAGAGUGUAAAUAAGAAGCCAACACCUGGGAAGCUGAAGAUCAGAGAACACUGAGUGGUCAGCAGAGAACAGAGAUGAGACCAAGCUGACAUUCUAGCAAAUUCAAGAUUUGAGAAUGUGUGGGAUGCCAGAAUGUGACCAGCAGAGCGAGGACUGCGCAGCAGCUGAGGAGAGACGCAUCUGACUGCGAAGCUCAGUCCCUCCCACGGCUGCGCCCGAUUCUGCAUGCUCUAAGGCUGCCAAGGGACAGCAGCUUGACGCCAAAGCCCAGCUCCAGGGUGAAGAGCAGUUUUGGAAAGGAACCGUUUAACGUGCCAUGAGAAACACAACUAGCCCUGACGUCAAACAC